rnacentral:rRNA from 1 species
GUGGGGAAUAUUGCACAAUGGGCGCAAGCCUGAUGCAGCAACGCCGCGUGAGGGAUGACGGCCUUCGGGUUGUAAACCUCUUUUAGUAGGGAAGAAGCGUAAGUGACGGUACCUGCAGAAAAAGCACCGGCUAACUACGUGCCAGCAGCCGCGGUAAUACGUAGGGUGCAAGCGUUGUCCGGAAUUAUUGGGCGGAAAGAGCUCGUAGGCGGCUUGUCGCGUCUGCUGUGAAAUCCCGGAGCUCAACUCCGGGCGUGCAGUGGGUACGGGCAGGCUAGAGUGCGGUAGGGGAGAUUGGAAUUCCUGGUGUAGCGGUGGAAUGCGCAGAUAUCAGGAGGAACACCGAUGGCGAAGGCAGAUCUCUGGGCCGUAACUGACGCUGAGGAGCGAAAGCAUGGGGAGCGAACAGGAUUAGAUACCCGGGUAGUCC